GCCAGUGUGUUUCAGUGGUUAGAGAGUCAGCCUGGGUACCAGAGGGUCACAGGUUUGAUUCCUGGUCAAGGGCA
rnacentral:tRNA from 1 species